CGACGUAUAGGGGAAACGAAUCGCCGCAGCCGCGUGGGAUGCGAUCGCCUUCUUUCGCCCAAUCCUGCGUGCGUGCCGCCGCCGCCGUGGACGGGCAGACGGCUGGACGCAUUCGCCAGGCGCCAGCUCGUUCGGUCUUUCCUCUCUGCCUGAAUCGCCAGAUCGCUAUCUCACUGAUCGCCACGACGGCACACAGUUCUGUUCCUGAAUCGCUGCUACUGCUAGCCUGCUGCUGGACGCCUGAACUGGACAGGCUGUGUUCCAAAUUCCAAUACUAACGGUUGAUCUUGAUAUAUUUUAAGUCUGAAUUUUCCCAAACUAUCUUACUCCGGGACCAAAUAAUUAUGAAAUUGACUCUACUUUGAAACAAAUAGAAGAUAUAAUGCAAUACUUUGAGACAUAUAGAACUGAGGGGUUUUCGUCUAGCUUGAUCAUUGCCAAAGGUAUUGGAGAUAAAAUGGGUGUGGAGGCUUCAUUUCCUGUAAAGCGUCGUGCAAUAAGAAAGAAAGAAUUUGAUGAAAGUAAUUGUCAAGAGGAAAUUCUUGAAGCUGAGAGGGCUUUUGAAGUGAAAUAUUUUUUGGUUAUGGUUGACAUGGCGAUCACUUCUUUGAAGACCAGAUUUGAAGAACUCAUGAUAUUUAAAGAUAUAUUUGGAUUUUUACUGAGCUCAAACACCCUGAAGUUGUUAAAUGAUAAUGAACUUGAAGAGUGUUGCAUUAAAUUUGCUAAGACUUUCUCCCAUGAUGGUUCAUCUAAUGUUGAGGUACAUGAUCUUAUUUCUGAAUUGAAGAUUAUGAAAUUCACUUUGCCAGAUGGAGUAUUGUCUGCUAAAGAGAUUUUUGAGCAUGUCAUAGAGGUGAAUUGCUAUCCUAAUGUCUCCAUUGCAUAUCGAAUCUUAUUUACUGUGCAUGUGACUGUUGCAUCUGCCGAAAGAAGCUUUUCAAAGCUGAAAUUGUUGAAAAACUAUUUGAGAUCAACAAUGACUCAAGAAAGGUUGAAUCAUUUGGCGACUUUAUGCAUCGAGAAGAAAUUAUUAGAUGAGAUUGAUAUCAACACUAUUAUUGAUGACUUUGUAUCGCAAAAUGUUAGAAGAAACUUGUCAACUUGAUAUCAAGUACAACUUCAAGCCAUGCCGUAAUGCCAAACAAAUUGCUUCUGUGAUAAAGAACAAAUGGCAAUGACGAUUGGCUGAAGUAUUGGUCCCAUCACAAAAUACUCGUGGUUGAGAAAAAAAUGACAAGGUGGGUAGGAUGUUGAAUAGGUAUCUUUGGCUACCAUGAGAAAAAAUGCCUUUAAAUGCAAACCUUCUUUCCAAGAUACUCUUAUCUCAAAGAAUUUGGAGAAGGCGUAUAGACUCGACGACGCUUCGCUAAGGCGAACGUGAUCAUAGUGAGAAGUACUUGAGAACUUAGUGAGGACGAGUGUGUGAUUUUUCAAAUUCGGCCACUUCAGCGAAGCUAGGCUCCGAUUCGGUUCCUUAGAAAAAAAAUGUUGGAUCAAAAUAAUACAAAUUUUCUGAUUUUGAACUUCCUUGGAAUCGGCAUUGCAAAACGGAUGCCUGACACGUGAUCACCAGUCAGGUACACAAAACGGUCAUGGAACACCAGAAUCUAAUCUAAUAUGUUUCGUAAAUAACAAGCAGCCUCUGAACUUGUUUCAUUAAUAACGAGCAAAACUUCGAACUUUACUUGAUAAUCACAGAGAAGUAAAUGAGCAUGUGAUCUAAUGAUAUGUUACAUUAACAACGAGCAAGCAUUUAGAUACUCCGGUAUAGAAAUCACACAGCGCGGAACGUUCACACCGCGUGUCCAUUUCUACACCAUAUUUUUUUUUUCUUUUCUCCAGUAUAGAACUUAUUAUACGUUUUAAGGCAAAAGAAUUGAUCAAAUAUAAAGAUAAUUUUUCUUUUAUUUUACAACCCAUGAAGAUGUUUCUUGCUUCAAGCAUCCCUAAAUAGGGUACGAAACACCGACUUAUCCAUUAUGCUACAUAGAUCCUCAAAAAGCGGAAACCAAUUUCACAUUCCUUGGUUCGGAUAUGCAUUCGGAAUAAAAAAACACCGAAGAUUUGAACAGAAUGGAAGAAACAUGUGGACAGCCCUUGUUGCCAGCAUCUCUUAUGCAUAAUGAUACAAUGCUCUACCUGCA